rnacentral:rRNA from 1 species
UACAGAGGGUGCGAGCGUUGUUCGGAAUUAUUGGGCGUAAAGGGCGCGUAGGCGGUGCGGUAAGUCACCUGUGAAAUCUCCUGGCUCAACUGGGAGCUUGCAGGCGAAACUGCCGUGCUGGAGUGUGGGAGAGGUGAGUGGAAUUCCCGGUGUAGCGGUGAAAUGCGUAGAUAUCUGGAGGAACACCGGUGGCGAAGGCGGCAUCCUGGACCGGCAUUGACGCUGAGGAGCGAAAGCCAGGGGAGCAAACGGG